CUAUCAACCUGUAUGGUAUGAAGGAAAAGAAUUCUGAGGUGAUAGAAAGGUGUUACAUUGUGUGACACAGAGAUUGGAAAGCUGCAGUACAAACAUAAGAUGAAGCAUUCAAACAGAACUGAGAAGUAAGAUAUUGGUGGUCAAGAUUAUAUAAAGGAAAGUGUGAGUGGUGGCGUAGGGUUCCAAAGAAUUUUGGAAAUUUCAUGUGAGCUCAUGUAAGCAGACACUGGGAAGACAUUCUCUGAAACAGACUCUGAAUUUGAGGACAUCAGCUGGAGCCCCUCUCUUUUGCCCAGUGUGGCUCUGGGAUUUGACCUCUGUUGUGUCGUGCACAGUGAUACAAGGACAGGAAGAGUCCCCUCAUCUGGCUUUCAGGACUGGACAAAGACAUCCCACAUUACAGCUGAAGGAGAGUGAUACCUCUACUGUAGGAGUACUCUCAAGAACAAGAAUUUCUGCUCAUAUUGGGACACCCCUGUAUUCUAAAAAUUACCACAGAUGAAAUUAGCUGGACAGCAGACCUCAGCUGCAGAGCCUCAGGGCAGAAAAGGUUCCAGAAACCCCAUGGAUGGAUGGACAGCUGGUUGAAAGAAGUCAGGUGGAUCCGUAUUAAAGUAGCUUUGAUUCAGUCACACAUGCAUAUGAUGAGAGCAUACACCACAUAGGCAUACACACCCAGACAUAUGCUUCAUGUAUACUCCUGCCUAGCACUGCAUGUUCCACUGCCAUUGUGUCCUAGGGCUUUUCACAAAGUUGAAAGAUGUUUGCUUUGAUUUUUCUGUUGCUCUUUCUGCAGGUAUUUUUCCUUGCGACUUAUCAUGAUGAUCCCAACUGCUUUCUCAAGAUGGAAU